ensembl:lncRNA
GGAGGCUAUAGGGGGAUAUAGGGCUGCUGUAGGGGGCUGUGCAGGGACUGUUAAGGCGUAUGGGUGUAUACGGAGCUGAGGGGGACUCUAGGGGGGAUCUGGGGCUGUGGUGAGCCAUAGGAGGAUUUGGUGCCACAGGGGGCUGUGGGGAGAUCAUGGGCGGGGUGGGGGGUUGGAUAUAGUCAGUCUGCGCAGGGAGGCUGUGGAUUGUCCUUCUCUGGAGAUCCUCCAAACCCAGCUGGGUGCCUACCUGUGCAGCCUGCUGUAUGGAGCCAGUUUUGCAGGAGCGGGGGUGGGGGGGUUUUGGACUCAAUAUUCUCUAGAGAUUACUUCCAGCCUCUUCAGUUCUGUGAUUCUGUGAUUGUAAUCGUUGCUUCUUGCAGCAGUAGAGUGUUUCAGAAGAGAGAAAAAGAUGGUGGCCAUGAACUGGCUUUCUGUGGCUGGUAAAGCUGUGCUGAGAACUGGGCUGACUAUUGCAACUGAAAAUGCGUGCCAAGUCUGCAGACGCAGAGGAAUAACUAUUCCGUGUUGGUUGAGCUUGUCUAAGGUAGGUGUCCUUGCUAGGUGAGCUUCUGCUUUAAAGCAUCACGUUGUAAUUUUAAAAGUAAGUUUGCCAGUUCUUUUUUUAUCCAAGUGAUUUUUUAGCCGGGAGAGAUUGGAGUUGCUGUUUGGUAAUGGAAGAUGAAGGGAGGAAAAGCAAGUAAAAGGCAUGCUGUGCAUAGCCACCACAUGCCAUGGGCACCGUUGUCGUCCUGCACAAAGGAGGAGCAGCUCAGCAAGUUUGGCCUGGGCCGUGGGAGGGAGCAUACAAACAUCUGGACCAACCGGAAACGAGUUAGUUCUGCAGGUUGGUUGUUUUCUGCUAUUUGUCCCCCGUCCUGUUGCUCAGCGGUAGAUUUGUUCCCGUUCAGUGCUAGCAGGAAUGUCCCCGAGCAUUUUUGUUUCAGCUGUCGCAACGCUUUGUUCCCUUGCUGCUGGGCUGGGGCGUUUGAAGAAUGAUGCACGUGCUGAUGCCCAGCCAGGCACUAGGGAUGAGUCUGCAGAGCAGGGUAUGUGUGUGGCAGGACUGAGGCUUGUGGGGGAGCAGGCCAGGUGGAAUCCAGUGCGCUUUGCUCUUGUUCUCAGUGCUUGUUUUUGCUCAGGAGGGCAGGUGGUGAAGCUCAUGAAGCAAUGCCUGCAGACGGGGUUUGUGGAGCAAGAGGUCCUGCAGGCCUUGUGUGACAGCCAUGGAGCUGUAGCGAGGCUGCGUCAGUGUAAAACAGCA